UUCAUAAGUAGUUUUUACUGUUAUUGUUGAAAACCGCGGUUAAACUAUUAUCUACGAUAUAAGAUCGUGUUUUUAAAUUUAUUCAUUGGAAUUUAUUUUACAAAGUGUUGAAUUAACCAAGUGGUUAACGUGCACUCUAAUUGUACAAGUUCGUCGAUUUGAAUACCCAAUUUCAAUUUUGUAAUUUCGUUACCUAACCUUCACCAUGAUUUUCCUAUGACAUAUUGGUGAUAAACUAGUUACAACAGUCAAUAUUCCACAGUUAUCGUGUGCAAAAAAUGGACUCAGCUAUGUCACCGCCCAAACUUAGCAUAUAUGGAUCCAGGAGUAUGUUAUCAUACUUAUAGAUUGUGCUCUGCUCACUUUGACCUAAUAAAUACACAGACAAACGCUUUAUCAAGAAAGCUAAGCCGUCAAUAUUUAAUUGGUCUAAUUCGAGUAAAAUUGAGAUUAAAAGUAAUUUAAUAGUUGAACCCAUGAAACUUAAAAAAUGCUCUAGUCAGAUUAAAGAGUACACAAACAUUAUGAAUAAUCCAAGGAGAUGUAAGAAAUUUUACAAAAAUAAUAAACAUAGAAGCUUCAUCACUGAGCCUAAUACUUUUUAUGACAAUCAACAGUUAUCAAAUAAACAGUUUUUUAUAAAAACUAAAAUGGAAAACAUAACUAAUACUGAUGUUAAAGUGAAGAACACUAUACAUUUAAUUGAUCAUAACUACUAUACUCCGCCUGUUACAGAUAGCAAUAAUAUUAAAAGUAGGUUUAAUAAACAUCUGUCAGAGCAUAAUUACUUUUCACAUGAUACAAAUAUUCACUAUGAUAAAAAAAAGAAUAAUCAGCAUUUAUUAGAACAUAACUAUUUUUUAGCGGUUUUUAACUUAAAAACAAAAAAAGAAAUCUUACAUUCAGAGAAUAGUACAGAUGAUAUUGACGAAGAAGAAAAUGUGGUUUCUGAUAAAUACAAAGUUCCUGUUUCAUAUUCCAUAUUGCCAGGUGUUCGGCUGAACUCACAAGUUUACAUGGAUAACUUACACCACAGAUAUUAUAAACAUUCAAGUAGGAACAAUGUAAUAUAUUUAGUAUGUGAAAAUCAAAAGAAUAAAACAGAAUUUUGUCCAGUAAUGGCAUCUAUAAGUGUAGAUAUGAACAACAAUAGAAUAAAAACAACUGGGCAACAUAAUCACCUUCCUCGACAAGUAGACAUUUCUAUGGUAAAUUUAAGAAGAACGAUUUGCUUACAAGCAACAAGAUCUGGAUCACUGUCCAUACCAAUUAAGCAGUUAUACAAUCAAGCAAUAAUCACAAAUCCAGAAGGUGCAAAAAAUUAUUCUUUAUCACAAUCACAAUUGAGUGUAAGAAGAAUGCGUCGUCGACGUCGUCGUCAAGCGGCUUCAAUUAUUUAAUAUGCCUCAGAUUUUCACGAGUCAGGGUUAAUAAGACUCAUAUACUAUCACAAUUUACCUUCAGAGUAUCACAAUCUUUAUUUUGUAAUUUCGUGUGUAACUUAAAUCGCUUAGUAUAUUUUUGUGUAAAUUAAAAGCACUAAAAUAAUAUUUGCAUAGUUAUGACCUUUGACUGUAAUUAUGAAUGAUGAAAUAAAAACCAACGGACAGAAUAUAAAGAAAGCAAUGACAUUACAGUAUCCUGAUUACUUUUGAUAGUUACAAAACAAGAAAUAAUCAUCAUUUAUUCACGUGGUUUAAGAAAAUGAAGUUUUAUGCAAGAAAAAUGAAUAUUAUCUAACAUUGUUUUGCAGAUCAUGCCUUAUAUUAUUUAAAGAAUAUGCAUUGAUGCGGAUUAUGGUUGGGGAGUAUAUACAUACUAAUGAUCAUUAUUCAUUUGUCAAACACUUCACAAAGAGCAAGACACAACUCCUUAAAAAUGAUACUUUCGCAUUGGUCUUAAGUUAUUGAAUGUUUAUAUUUUAAUUUAACUUUAAAUUCAAAAUGUUUAAAAUUAUUCAUUCUAUCUAUGACUUCAAAUAAAUAUCCACCAGCCCACUUAAUCCUAAAUAAAUUUUCAGGUGCAGCAAAAAUAAAUAAGACUAGCUGUAUCUGUGUGCACGCCUAUGCUUUUGCUCCUUAGAAAACUCCACUGUUAGCUACUAUCGACAACUAUUGUUAUUAAUGGAUAAUAAUAUUACUUUCUCUUAAUGUUUUAAACCAUUCUUUUAUUUUAAGAAAAUUAUAGUUAUACAAGUGUAUAGAAUAUAAUUGCUAUUAUAUAAAUUAUAAAUUAAAUUUAUGUCAUAUGGUUUACUAUUUACUAUGCAUCUAAUACUACAGAUGAAAGUCAAAUAUAAAUACUUUUCAAGAUUCAUUAAUACAAUAAAAAUCUGACAUGGAGUUAUUCGACUUAAAUUCUAAAUGUUUAUUACAAUUAUGUUAAGUGCUGAAACAUGUUUUUUUUCUGAUGCAUCAUAAGUUAAUAAAGUAAACCAAACCAAUAAAAUAAUUUGUACUUAUAUUAUAAAAAUUAAACAUUUAAACUAGCAUAUUACUUAGUAAUCACUCGUCUAGUACAAUGGAGUGUUUAAUCACAAAAA
rnacentral:misc_RNA from 1 species